UACAGAGGCCUCGAGCGUUAGGCGGAAUCACUGGGCUUAAAGCGUGUGUAGGUGGAUGCCUAAGUACCUUGUGAAAUCCCAUGGCUUAACCAUGGAAUUGCUCGGUAUACUGGGUGUCUUGAGCCACUCAGGGGCUACCGGAACAAGCGGUGGAGCGGUGAAAUGCGUAGAUAUCGCUUGGAACGCCAAAGGUGAAAACAGGUAGCUGGGGGUGUGCUGACACUGAGACACGAAAGCCAGGGGAGCAAACGGGG
rnacentral:rRNA from 1 species